UUGUGGGCCUUCCCACCACUGCCAAGUUCCUGUGUGGAAAUCCUGACCUCUGCUGUGGUCGUAUUAGGAGACAGUGUCUCUGGGAGGUGACUGUGUCACAAGAGUGACGCUCUCAUGAAUGGGAUUAGCACCCAUAUAAAACUGGCCCCAGAGAGUCCUGUGUCUCUCCCACCACGUGAGGACACAGCUAGAAGACAGACAGCCGUCUAUGAGUCGGGAAGUGGACCCUCACCAGACACUGAGUCUGCCAGUGCCUUGACCUUGACUUCCCAGCCUCUGAAACUGUGAAAAUACAGUUUGAUGGAGAAAACUGGACUUGACUGAUGAGAGCUUCCUAUAUGCAGAAGAAAUAUUUGGAAAUCGCCUGAGUCCAGCAAUGGCUAACCAGGUUGGUGCAUUUGGAAACAGAUGUCCUGUGCGUAUCAACAAGCCCAGUGAUCAGCAUGUCAGCUCAGAAACACCUCAUUUGAAAGAGCCAAGGAGCUUUGCCAUACCCACGGUUGCUGGAAUGAGUUCUCUUAUAUUUUGGGAGGUUACUAUGUGUAAUUCAGGAUGACUCCAUAAAAGAAUGAAGAAUGAAUGAGUACACCCAGGGAAAUACACAUUUAACUCAGCAUGGUCUCACUGGCCAGCUGCUGUGUUCUUUGGGAAUUCUGCUGAUCUGUCAAAACGCAACUCAUGUUCAGAAAGGUGAAGAGGCUAAGCCACAGCCUUUGCAAAAUUAUUUGUGCAUGCGGGCAUGCGUCUGCGUGUGCACACAUAUAUGUAUUAUUUCUUCCCAAUGGCUGGAAACACAUUUCCAUAAAUAUUGUUACAUGGGAGAGGUAAAAGCAACUUCAGGAAACUAUUGUGCUUUUUUCUAGGGUUCUUGCCUUUGCUGUGAUCCUUUCUAAGUCACCUCGGUUCUUAUUGAGGCUUCUCUUACGCACUGCUGAAUGAAUGCCAGCUCACUGGGAACCACGGUUCCCUCUGCCCAUGGCUCCUUUUGGCGCCUGUUCUAUUUGGAGCAGCAGUAACAGAGCCCAGAGAAAGGUACUAUACUCACAAGAGAAGUGGGCAGGAAGUUCAUUCUGCCUCUUGUCACGGGUGGGGCCGUCUGCCCAUUGCAAUGAUCACCAACCUCAUGGCCUGGAAGGCGUGUGCUUUAGUGCCUAUGUGGCUCAGUCCCUUCCACCCUCACCUCUUCCAAAGACACCUUUGGAGAGAAGGGAGUAAGACUUCUCAAGAGGGUAGAACUACUGUAGGGGAGUCAGUGCAAGCACCUGAGGCCCACUCAUCUCUCCUGUUUUCCUUCCUCCCCACAAAAUAAAAAACGCUAGAUUUUUUAUCUUAAGCACAUCUCCAGUUCCAUGAUGGACCUAGGCUCAACUCAUGUGUUUUCAACUGUAGCUUUUGGCAGUGUACUUUGUGACUUUUCCCCAAAUGAUGCUGUGUUUUAGGGAAGGACAAUCAGCCUUCUGUUUAUACAUUACAUAGUCAAAUGAGGUCUCAGAUUGUCUAGCUACAGAGUUGUGCUUGCUUGUAGGAAUCAAUGAAUAAAACAAAGUCUGGAUUUCUCAAGUAUCUCUGGACUUCAAGUCUUGCAUUUCACACCAGGAAGCCAAUUUCAUGAAGAACUUUUCUACUUUAAC